AUUUUUUUUUUCUUUUAAACAAAAUUCCAAAUCAAAGAGCCCUAAUAUUAAACCCUUUUAAAUUUUAAUCUAAAUGUUGAAUAAAGUGUUUUUAAUUUAGUUUUGUAAUAGUGAUUACUGAAAAAAUUAGCAAAGAGGAAAUUUUUUUUAGGGAUCAAAUAUUUUUAUGAUGAUUGAAACGGGGGUGGUGGUUGAUUAUUUGGUGCCGUCGUGGUGGGAGGUCAAAGUGGCGGUCGCGGCGUCGGUGUUCGUGAUCGUUUCUUAUUGGUUUUUUGCAUUACAAGGCAAAGAUGGCGACGGCGGUGAUCGAUCGCAGGUUUCGGAGAGUUCUGCUGAAGGAAUUCUUGACGAAAAAGAGAAGAUAGUCCAUUCGAAAGGAGAUGUCCAAACUAAUUCUCGAUAUCUAAUCAAGGUGGAAUUGCUGGCAGCUAAGAAUCUUAUUGGUGCUAACUUGAAUGGCACUUCAGAUCCUUAUGCUAUCAUUACUUGUGGUUCUGAAAAGAGAUUCAGUUCGAUGGUUCCUGGUUCAAGAAACCCCAUGUGGGGAGAGGAGUUCGAUUUCUCUGUAGAUGAGCUUCCUGUACAGAUAAAUGUGACCAUAUAUGACUGGGAUAUAAUUUGGAAGAGUGCUGUUCUCGGUUCAGUUACAAUUCUGGUUGACACUGAAGGUCAAAGUGAUGCGGUAUGGCAUACUUUAGAUAGCACAUCUGGACAGGUCUGUCUACAUAUCAAAACUAUAAAACUCCCCGUGAAUUCCAGGGGUAUGAAUGGAUAUGCUGGAGCUAAUACUCGAAGAAGGAUUUCUUCAGAUAAACAAGGACCUACUGUGGUUCAUCAAAAGCCAGGGCCUUUACAAACAAUAUUUAAUCUCCUUCCAGAUGAGGUUGUGGAGCAUAGUUACUCAUGUGCGCUUGAGAGAUCAUUCUUGUACCAUGGUCGUAUGUAUGUCUCCGCAUGGCACAUUUGUUUCCAUUCUAAUGUGUUCUCAAAACAAAUGAAGGUGGUGAUACCAUUUGGGGAUAUAGAUGAGAUUCGUAGAAGUCAGCAUGCAUUCAUUAAUCCUGCAAUAACAAUUAUUCUUCGCAUGGGUGCUGGUGGGCAUGGUGUACCUCCAUUGGGGAGCUCCGAUGGUAGAGUCAGGUAUAAAUUUGCAUCAUUUUGGAACCGGAACCAUGCAUUAAGAGCAUUACAGCGCGCAUCAAAGAACUACCAUACAAUGUUGGAAGCUGAAAAGAAGGAAAUAGCAGAAUCAGCAUUGCGUGCACACAGCAGCUCUAUUAGAGGUAGUAGAAGGCAAGCUACGGCUCCCAAAGAUAAUGCAUCUAAACCUGAAAAAUCACAAGCUUUUAUCAAAGAAGAAGUUCUUGUUGGUAUCUACAAUGAUGUAUUUCUGUGCACUGCAGAGCAGUUUUAUAAUUUGUUAUUAAGUGAUGACUCUAGUUUUACUAAUGAGUAUCGUGCAGUACGGAAGGAUACAAAUCUUUCGAUGGGACAGUGGCACCCUGCUGAUGAAUAUGACGGCCUAGUGAGAGAGAUAACAUUCAGAACCAUUUGUAACAGUCCCAUGUGUCCUCCAGACACUGCCAUGACAGAGUACCAGCGUUCCAUUUUAUCACCCGAUAAGAAAAAGCUUGUUUUUGAAACUGUACAACAGGCACACGAUGUUCCAUUCGGCAGCUACUUCGAGGUACAUUGCCGAUGGUGUGUGGAGACCAAUGGCGAAAAUUCAUCCAUUCUAGAUGUAAAAGUGGGUAGGUUUUCUGUUGGCUUUUCAUCUCUUGAAAACGUUUUCUAAUACAAAGAUCCAUUGGUCCUUGAACGCCACAAUAGGGUAGCCCUCUCCCAUCCUGCAAAAUCCACCCAUCAUUGCAAAGGGUUCAAACCGAGACUUCCAGAUCAGUCUUAAGUUCUAGCUUCUAGGGUGUCCCCUUGGAUACAUCUCUUGACAAAUAUUUCCGGCAGCAAUAGCUCUUCUCCUAGUCAAACUCUUUUUCGAAGACUGUCUUUCAAUUUUUACCAGUAUGAAAUUUAGUUGGCGCAUGCGACAGACAAUGGUGAAAGUAAAGAACAUCCAAAGCACAUCCUUUCCCAUUAAAGUGCACAUUUCAAGAAAUGGUGUGUGAUGCAAUCGAAAAUUAGAUCAGGCGCUAUCAACGAGUACAAGAAAGAGGUAGAGGUGAUGUUAGAUGUCGCCCGCUCUUAUAUCAAAUCACAUGCAACCGGUGGUGAGACCAAUAACUCAUC